AUACUUACCUGGCAGGGGAGAUACCAUGAUCAAGAAGGUGGUUCACCUUGGGCGAGGCCUGACCAUUGCACUCCGGUUGGGUUGACCUUAACGAAUUCCCCAAAUGUGGGAAUCUCGACUGCAUAAUUUGUGGUAGUGGGGGACUGCGUUCGCGCUGACCCCUG
ensembl:snRNA U1 U1 spliceosomal RNA